rnacentral:rRNA from 1 species
AUUGAACGCUGGCGGCAGGCCUAACACAUGCAAGUCGAGCGGAUGACGGGAGCUUGCUCCUUGAUUCAGCGGCGGACGAGUGAGUAAUGCCUAGGAAUCUGCCUGGUAGUGGGGGACAACGUUUCGAAAGGAACGCUAAUACCGCAUACGUCCUACGGGAGAAAGCAGGGGACCUUCGGGCCUUGCGCUAUCAGAUGAGCCUAGGUCGGAUUAGCUAGUUGGCGGGGUAAUGGCUCACCAAGGCGACGAUCCGUAACUGGUCUGAGAGGAUGAUCAGUCACACUGGAACUGAGACACGGUCCAGACUCCUACGGGAGGCAGCAGUGGGGAAUAUUGGACAAUAGGCGAAAGCCUGAUCCAGCCAUGCCGCGUGUGUGAAGAAGGUCUUCGGAUUGUAAAGCACUUUAAGUUGGGAGGAAGGGCAGUAAGUUAAUACCUUGCUGUUUUGACGUUACCGACAGAAUAAGCACCGGCUAACUCUGUGCCAGCCGCCGCCGUAAUAC